CCGCCGGCGACCGGCGCACGGGUGAGUAACACGUAUGCAACCUGGCCGUGACAGAUGGAUUACCGGGAGAAAUCCCGCCUAAUACAGCAUGACGCCGGGAAGGGACAUCCCUUUCCGGCCAAAGGGGGCGACUCCGGUCACGGAUGGGCAUGCGGCGCAUUAGGUAGUUGGUGGGGCAACGGCCCACCAAGCCGACGAUGCGUAGGGGUUCUGAGAGGAAGGUCCCCCACAUUGGAACUGAGACACGGUCCAAACUCCUACGGAAGGCAGCAG
rnacentral:rRNA from 1 species